UCCAGGUGCUGCAGAAUGAUAAACUAUCCU
rnacentral:piRNA from 1 species